GGAAAACCUUUGGCAACAAUAAUAUGUAUUGCCACUAGUGGCAAGUUCGCCAGAGGUUUUUUUCUGGCAAACAAUUCCCUCAAGAUUCUAUUUUAAUCUGUGGCAACAAUAUUUAUUGCCACUAGUAGUGACAAACAGAAGUUGUUUUUGGUGAACACAUGAGUUCCAAGACCAGUAACCGUAGAUGACCAGUCAAGGGGAGAAGAAAAAUCUGUUGGAAAAUGGAAACAAAGUUAUCUAGCUACCUACCGAAGUUGUCAACAAUCAGUUACAAGGGAAAAAAUACAGAUUGAGGCCUUCAAUCAAGCUGAGGACAGAGAAAUAUGUGUGCACCAGGACCCUGGGAAGAAAGAGAAGGAGCGGCAGAGGAGGG
rnacentral:lncRNA from 1 species